AAUGAACGUUGGCGGCAUGGAUUAGGCAUGCAAGUCGGGGGAAUCCCAGCAAUGGGGGAACCGGCGUAAGGGGCAGUAAGGCAUGGGUACCUACCUUGGGGUUCGGGAUAGCCAUCAGAGAUGGUGGGUAAUACCGGAUGACGUCGUGAGACCAAAGAUUCAUCGCCCUUAGAGGGGCCCAUGUGAUAUUAGCUAGUUGGUGGGGUAACGGCCCACCAAGACGAAGAUGUCUAGCGGGUGUGAGAGCACGACCCGCGCCACACGCACUGAGACACUGGCGAGACACCUACGGGUGGCUGCAGUCGAGGAUCUUCGGCAAUGAGCGCAAGCUUGACCGAGCGAUGCCGCGUGAGCGAUGAAGGCCUUCGGGUUGUAAAGCUCUUUAGUGGGGGAGAAAAGCCGCAAGGUGUGAUCUAUCCCAAAAAUAAGCACGGGCUAAGUUCGUGCCAGCAGCCGCCGUAA
rnacentral:rRNA from 1 species